rnacentral:lncRNA from 1 species
AGGAAACGGCUUAGGGGAGCAGCAAAGGAACCAGGAAGUAAGAUCUCCUGGUAAAGUGUUCAUUAACUUUCAACAGCCAUCAGAUUUUUGAAAGGGAGUCUCUUCUAAUUGCCUUUGGGAGGAAACAUUAUUAAGAUAAUUGGCAUGCUGAUCUGGGAAGAUAAAAGUUUCCUUCGCCCGGGAGUCGGUUGUUCCCGGCUGAUCCCGGGAAGCCCCGCCUGAGCCCCGGUCCGGGGCGGGCAGCUGGGAGCCGGGGCGCCGCUGUCACCCGCGCCUCUGCCUGUCACUUACCGUUGCGAAAAGCGCCGGCCGGGGCGAGGACGAGGGCGAGCACGGCGCAGAGGAGCGGCAGCCCCCUCUCCAUUCUCCCUUCUCCGGGUCCGCAGGCAGACGCGGGAGAACGAGGACGUGGGGGGAAAUGCAGCAAAGAGGAGAAUCUAAGCGAUCCGAAGAGCCCCAACUCCGCCUAGAGCUGUACAAUCCUCAGCCCGUCUUGGAGAAAAGAAAGCAGCGAGGCAAUGCCUGGAUCCGAGAGGAACGCUUCUCUUUUUGUGUCUCAAGUCGCCUGCAUCCUGUCAUUUAGCUCCGGCUUCCUCUCCCUUUUCCCACACUUGUUCCUCUUCCAGGAGCCACUGCCCGGGCCAUGUC